GGACUACAGGGGUAUCUAAUCCUGUUUGAUCCCCACGCUUUCGUGCCUCAGCGUCAAUGCCUGUCCAGUUAGUCGCCUUCGCCACUGGUGUUCCUCCGAAUAUCUGCGAAUUUCACCUCUACACUCGGAAUUCCACUAACCUCUCCAGGAUUCUAGCUUUACAGUCUCAAAAGCAAUUCUGGGGUUAAGCCCCAGGCUUUCACUUCUGACUUAUAAAACCGCCUACGCACGCUUUACGCCCAGUGAUUCCGAACAACGCUCGCUCCCUUCGUAUUACCGCGGCUGCUGGCAC
rnacentral:rRNA from 1 species